rnacentral:rRNA from 1 species
UACGUAGGGUCCGAGCGUUGUCCGGAAUUACUGGGCGUAAAGAGCUCGUAGGUGGUUUGUCGCGUUGUUCGUGAAAACUCACAGCUUAACUGUGGGCGUGCGGCGAUACGGGCAGACUUGAGUACUGCAGGGGAGACUGGAAUUCCUGGUGUAGCGGGUGGAAUGCGCAGAUAUCAGGAGGAACACCGGUGGCGAAGGCAGCUCGCUGGGAC